UCGAAAAGAAAGAGGAACAAUAAACAGAGAGUAUAAAAUUUUGAUUUAUUUUGGAAAUGACAUUAAGGUAAAAAUCGAAGGUUUGAGAGAAGGAGUAGGAGAAGGGAGCGUAAUCCUAGCAGCGGAAGGCGCGAGCGAAUCGAGGGAAAUGAUACACUUUGUGCUACUCAUUAGUCGUCAGGGGAAAGUCGAGCUCACAAAACUUUGUGCGACGUAGGAACCCUUGGCAGCCGCUGCUAUCUCCGGUGAGAUUUAAUCAUCAUCUCGAUAUUCUUUACUGUGUUUCUCGUCCGCGUCUCAUGCUCGUUUUGGGUUUGCCUCCGGCGAAACGCCGGCGUGCCCAGGAUGUCAACUAGGUUUGAGGGUAUGGGAAGGUAAACUUCUCCGAGUUAACGAGUUGACUCGCGAUCUUGAUAGUUUCUGACACUGAUGCUGCUCGGAAGCAAAAGAGUAACUUUGAAUGCUUCAAGAUUUCUCUAUCUCUCUAGUUUCCCUUGUCUUCUUCACACGAUGGGUACUUCCAUAGUCACUAGCACACACACAGAUGACGCUGAGACGCACAGCAACGGGACGCAGUUCUUGAUUUUCAUGAGACACCAAUGCAGGGCAGGUCAAGUGAAGAACUUUGAUGAAGCUUUGGACUUGUUUCAAAAAAUGGCUAGAAUGAAGCCUGUGCCUUCUGUGAAGGACUUUACUUUAUUGUUGGGUGUUAUUGUGAGGUUGAGGCAUUACACCACUGCCAUAUCUUUGGUUAAGCACAUGUAUUCUGCUCUAGGCAUAGAACCUGAUACCAUUACUCUUAAUAUUGUGAUCAACUGUCUUUGUCGCUUAAAGUUGAUAUCUUUUGGGUUCUCCGUCUUGGGGACCAUGUUCAAACUUGGUUUGGAGCCCACUGUGAUGACUCUUACCAAUCUCAUUAAUGGGCUUUGUGUGCAAGGCAAUGUGGCUCAGGCAGUGGUGUUGGCUGAUCAUAUGGAGAAAUUGGGGUAUCCAUUAGAUGUAUACACUUAUGGGGUGUUGGUUAAUGGGUUGUGUAAGACGGGAGACACUUUGGUGGCAGUUCGAUGGUUAAGGAAGAUGGAGGAAAGGAAUUGGAAACCUAAUGUGGUAGUUUACAGCAGUGUUAUGGAUGGUUUGUGCAAGGAUGGAUUGGUAUAUGAGGCAUUAAAUUUGUUCUCUGAAAUGGGUGCAAAAGAUGUCUUGCCUAAUCUUGUCACCUAUACUUGUUUGAUUCAAGGUCUCUGUAAUUUUGGAAGAUGGAAAGAAGUUGGUUCUCUUCUGGAUGACAUGAUGAAAAUGGGAAUGAAGCCGGAUGUCCAAACACUCAAUAUUUUAGUGGAUUCUUUCUGCAAAGAAGGAAAAGUAACGCAGGCUAAAAGUGUGAUUGGGUUUAUGAUUAUAAUGGGUGAGAAACCGGAUGUCUUUACAUAUAAUUCACUUAUUCACGUUUAUUGUUUGCAAAACCAAAUGAAUAAGGCCAUGCGAAUAUUUAAUUUUAUGGUUAACGGGGACUGUUUACCGGACAUUGCAGUUUUUACUUCACUUAUCCAUGGAUGGUGCAAGAAUAAAAACAUUAAAAAGGCUAUGUAUCUGUUGGAGGAAAUGGGUAAGAUGGGAUUUGUACCUGAUGUUGUCACUUGGACCACUCUUAUAGGUGGGUUUUGUCAAGCAGGUCAAUCAUUAGCUGCGAAAGAUCUGUUUUUUAAUAUGCAUAAACAUGGUAAAGUUCCUAAUAUUCAAACUUGUGCUGUUAUGUUGGAUGGCCUGUGUAAAGGAAAUCUCCUUUCUGAGGCAGUGUCAUUGGUUGAGGCAAUGGAGAAGAGUAAUUUGGAUCUUAAUAUUUUCAUUUAUAUCAUUUUACUUGACGGAAUAUGCAGUUCUGGGAAAUUGAAUGAUGCAUGGGAACUGUUUUCUAGUUUGCCUGCUAAAGGCUUGCAAAUUGACGUUUAUGCGUAUACCAUUAUGAUUAAGGGUCUCUGUAAACAAGGACUGUUAGAUAAAGCUGAAGACCUGCUGAUGAAUAUGGAAAAGAACUGCCCGCCAAAUAACUGCACUUACAAUGUCUUUGUCCAAGGCUUGCUGACAAAAAAGGAGAUUGCAAGGUCAAUAAAAUACCUUGCAAUUAUGAAAGACAAGGGUUUUUCAGUGGAUGCUGCCACCACAAAACUGAUUAUCAACUAUUUAUCUACUAACAAAGGAGACACUGAAAUUCAAGAAUAUUUGUUUCCCAAAAGAUAGCACAUUUCAAGAGUUUCACUAGAGCUUUAUUCAAAUCUAGUUCAUUCUGGUUUCACAAUUCUUAUUUAUAGGACCCCAAAUUGAGAACUGGAAUGGUCUCUACGUCAGAACUUAAUUGUUAAGAAUACAAAACCAUUUCUGUUAAAGUACUUCCACCUGACAAAUUAUGAGUUGGAGAGUUGGUCCUUAAAAUGUUAUCAUAACUUCUAUAAAUAAGGACUUGUGAGUUUGAUCCUUGUUGUUUCUAUUCUUCAUAAUUAACUCAGGGGAUGUGUGUUUGUGCUCCGUCCGCACUUCAAGCUCAAGAAGCUGUUGUUAAGGCGAUUUUAUAUGAAAUUUUCUUUAGCUCCACUGAACAGCUUAAGCUUUUAAAGGGAAUUACUCCUUGACAUUUUUAUUGGAUCUUGUUCCUUCAAGACUCCUAUUUUACUGAACUGAUUAUCUUUACACGUCAUAAGUAAAACCAUGUUUUGCUCUCGCAAUUUAUAAUAAUUUGUUAUAAGGAGAUAUAUUUAUCCAAUUGCUUAACCAUUUUAAGAGGACUGUACAUGAUUGCCUAGCAUAAAAUCUGGACUUCACGAUGAUGAUUCAUGGUUUCAAGACAAACGCGCUUUCGUGUUUUGACACUCAAUCUUGAAGGUUGUUCAUUUCGUCUUUUUUGUAUAUGUAUUAGAUUGUUGGGAUAAUUGGACUUUUUUCCCUAUUGCGAUUAGAUACUCUUAAUAACUUGUCUUUCAUUCAUGUUUUUAUGAUCUACACCUUGCAAGCGCCAUUUUUAUUCUUUUACUAUCACAUUCUUUCGUUAUGUAUUUCCAAUUUCAACUUGCUUUAUCCC